AAUAGAUACCCAGGUAGUCCACGCCGUAAACGAUGAGUGCUAAGUGUUGGGGGGGUUUCCGCCCCUCAGUGCUGCAGCUAACGCAUUAAGCACUCCGCCUGGGGAGUACGGUCGCAAGACUGAAACUCAAAGGAAUUGACGGGGGCCCGCACAAGCGGUGGAGCAUGUGGUUUAAUUCGAAGCAACGCGAAGAACCUUACCAGGUCUUGACAUCCCGGUGACCACUAUGGAGACAUAGUUUCCCCUUCGGGGGCAACGGUGACAGGUGGUGCAUGGUUGUCGUCAGCUCGUGUCGUGAGAUGUUGGGUUAAGUCCCGCAACGAGCGCAACCCUUAUUCUUAGUUGCCAUCAUUCAGUUGGGCACUCUAAGGAGACUGCCGGUGAUAAACCGGAGGAAGGUGGGGAUGACGUCAAAUCAUCAUGCCCCUUAUGACCUGGGCUACACACGUGCUACAAUGGACGGUACAAACGGUUGCCAACCCGCGAGGGGGAGCUAAUCCGAUAAAACCGUUCUCAGUUCGGAUUGUAGGCUGCAACUCG
rnacentral:rRNA from 1 species